rnacentral:rRNA from 1 species
UACGGGAGGCAGCAGUGGGGAAUAUUGCACAAUGGGCGAAAGCCUGAUGCAGCUAUGCCGCGUGUAUGAAGAAGGCCUUAGGGUUGUAAAGUACUUUCAUCGGGGAGGAAAAAACAAAACUAAUAAUUUUAUUUCUUGACGUUACCCGAAAAAGAAGCACCGGCUAACUCCGUGCCAGCAGCCGCGGUAAUACGGAGGGUGCUAGCGUUAAUCAGAAUUACUGGGCGUAAAGAGCACGUAGGUGGUUUUUUUAAAGUCAGAUGUGAAAUCCCUGGGCUUAACCUAGGAACUGCAUUUUGAAACUGAAAUACUAGAGUAUCGUAGAGGGAGGUAGAAUUCUAGGUGUAGCGGUGAAAUGCGUAGAUAUCUGGAGGAAUACCUGUGGCGAAAGCGGCCUCCUAAACGAAUACUGACACUGAGGGUGCGAAAGCGUGGGGAGCAAAACAGGGAUUAGAUACC